GCAGUAGCCGCGGUAAUACGAAGGGUGCAAGCGUUAAUCGGAAUUACUGGGCGUAAAGCGUGCGUAGGCGGUGAGUUAAGUCUGCUGUGAAAUCCCCGGGCUCAACCUGGGAAUGGCAGUGGAUACUGGCUCGCUAGAGUGUGUCAGAGGAUGGUGGAAUUCCCGGUGUAGCGGUGAAAUGCGUAGAGAUCGGGAGGAACAUCAGUGGCGAAGGCGGCCAUCUGGGACAACACUGACGCUGAGGCACGGAAGCGUGGGGAGCAAACAGGAUUAGAUACCCCGGUAGUCCCUGUCUCUUAUCC
rnacentral:rRNA from 1 species